rnacentral:rRNA from 1 species
UACGUAGGUGGCGAGCGUUAUCCGGAAUGAUUGGGCGUAAAGGGUGCGUAGGCGGCGCAGUUAGUCAGAAGUGAAAUAUCGGGGCUUAACCCCGGGGCUGCUUCUGAUACUGCUGUGCUCGAGUGCAGGAGAGGUAAGUGGAAUUCCUAGUGUAGCGGUGAAAUGCGUAGAUAUUAGGAGGAACACCAGUGGCGAAGGCGGCCUGCUGGACGACAACUGACGGUGAGGCGCGAAAGCGUGGGGAGCAAACAGG